rnacentral:misc_RNA from 1 species
GAAAAUUCCCAAAAGCAACUGUAAUCACUAUGUCAUCCCUUAACUUUUCAGACGGUAUCGAUAAAUUUUCCGGCGAAAUGUCUGAGGUUGAUAUCCAAAUCGUCACCUCCGGCGGCCUCCGCAUUCCGGCACAUUCCGCCGUUCUGGCUGCUGCUUCGACGGUUCUGGAGAACAUACUAGCUCGGCCGGGAAAGCGGCGGAGCUCCGAGAGAACGAUUCGGAUUCUUGGCGUGCCGUGCGACGCCGUUUCCGUGUUUAUCCGGUUUCUCUAUUCUUUCAAGUGCACUGAAGAGCAGAUGAAGAGACAUGGGAUCCAUCUGCUAGCACUUUCUCAUGUGUACUUGGUACCGCAGCUGAAACAGAGAUGCACAAAGGGGUUGGCCGAGCGAUUGACGAUUGAGAAUGCUGUGGAUUUGCUUCAACUUGCGAGACUAUGUGAUGCACCAGAUCUAUAUCUUAAGAGUAUGAAAUUUUUGUCUAGUAAUUUCAAGAAAGUUGAGGAGACUGAGGGCUGGAAAUUCCUUCAACAUCAUGAUCCCUGGCUUGAACUUGAAAUUCUACAGUUCAUGGAUGAGGCUGAGUUGCGGAAGAAGAGGACAAGGAGACACAAACUAGAGCGGAGCUUGUAUUUACAGCUAAGCGAAGCGAUGGAUUGUUUGGAGCACAUUUGCACUGAAGGAUGUACUAGUGUGGGGCCAUUAGAUAAAGAACCUUCCAUCAAGAGGCAGCCAUGUAGCAAGUUUGAUACCUGCCAAGGGCUUCAGUUUCUGAUUCGACAUUUUGCUACUUGUAAGAGAAGGACCAAUGGAGGUUGUUUGCGAUGCAAGCGCAUGUGGCAGAUCCUAAGAUUACACGCAUCCAUUUGUGACCAACCAAACGAUUGCCAGGUUCCCCUUUGCAGACAAUUCAAAUUGAAGGUGCAACAAAAGGGUGAUGACGAGCUGUGGAAAUCACUUGUUAGAAAGGUAGUGUCAGCCAGGGCAAUGUCUUCUUUAUCUCUGCCCAAAAGAAAGAGAGAAGAGGAACCGAAAAUGGACUUUAACCAUCAUCAAGUGAUGAACUUCAGAUUGGCAGCUUAGUGUCAAAAGUGUGUGUUUCAUAUCGUAAGGCGAACUCGAUCUUUGUAAAUAGACCAUCAAUAGAAUGUAAUUUAGUUUUUACCAUUUCAUAUUUCCUACUGUAGAGACCUAUUCUAUAUGUUUAUUUAUUAUUUCUGAGUCAGUCUUUUAGUAGAUGAAGAGUGUUGUAUCAGCAAAAGAGUUGUAUACAAAAAGAG